rnacentral:miRNA from 1 species
UGACUAGACCGAACACUCGUAUCCC